rnacentral:rRNA from 1 species
CGGGAUUAGUGGCGGACGGGUGAGUAACGCGUAGGGAUCUAUCCAUGGGUGGGUGACAACUCCGGGAAACUGGAGCUAAUACCGCAUGAUACCUCAGGGUCAAAGGCGCAAGUCGCCUGUGGAGGAACCUGCGUUCGAUUAGCUAGUUGGUGGGGUAAAGGCCUACCAAGGCGAUGAUCGAUAGCUGGUCUGAGAGGAUGAUCAGCCACACUGGGACUGAGACACGGCCCAGACUCCUACGGGAGGCAGCAGUGGGGAAUAUUGGACAAUGGGCGAAAGCCUGAUCCAGCAAUGCCGCGUGUGUGAAGAAGGGCUUCGGAUUGUAAAGCACUUUCGACGGGGACGAUGAUGACGGUACCCGUAGAAGAAGCCCCGGCUAACUUCGUGCCAGCAGCCGCGGUAAU